rnacentral:rRNA from 1 species
UACGUAGGGCGCAAGCGUUGUCCGGAUUUAUUGGGCGUAAAGAGCUCGUAGGCGGUCUGUCGCGUCGGCUGUGAAAACCCGAGGCUCAACCUCGGGCCUGCAGUCGAUACGGGCAGACUAGAGUGUGGCAGGGGAGACUGGAAUUCCUGGUGUAGCGGUGAAAUGCGCAGAUAUCAGGAGGAACACCGGUGGCGAAGGCGGUUCUCUGGGCCUUACCUGACGCUGAGGAGCGAAAGCGUGGGGAGCGAACAGG